UAGGGAAUCUUCCGCAAUGGACGAAAGUCUGACGGAGCAACGCCGCGUGAGCGAAGAAGGUCUUCGGAUCGUAAAGCUCUGUUGUUAGGGAAGAACAAGUAUCGGAGGAAAUGCCGGUACCUUGACGGUACCUGACGAGAAAGCCACGGCUAACUACGUGCCAGCAGCCGCGGUAAUACGUAGGUGGCAAGCGUUGUCCGGAUUUAUUGGGCGUAAAGCGCGCGCAGGCGGUCCUUUAAGUCUGAUGUGAAAUCUUGCGGCUCAACCGCAAGCGGUCAUUGGAAACUGGGGGACUUGAGUGCAGAAGAGGAAAGCGGAAUUCCACGUGUAGCGGUGAAAUGCGUAGAGAUGUGGAGGAACACCAGUGGCGAAGGCGGCUUUCUGGUCUGUAACUGACGCUGAGGCGCGAAAGCGUGGGGAGCAAACAGG
rnacentral:rRNA from 1 species